rnacentral:tRNA from 1 species
UGGUGUAGCUCAAUUGGUAGAGCAGCUGACUUGUAAUCAGCAGGUUGGGGGUUCAAGUCCUCUCGCC